GUGUGCUCUCGUGUGGUUCUGACGGAAAAGCAGUUUCAACAAGAACCCUCCGCUUCAGGAACCCAGUUAUACUUUAUGUGACCCAUCUGAUGGCUCCUGACUAGGCUAUGCCACUCUGAAGCAUUGAGAUGGCGAGAGGUCGUGGGGGCUGCACCUCUGCUUUCGAAAGAUGAAUCAGUCAUUCCACACUGUGCUUACUGGCUUUGCAUCGAGUCUAACAAAUCCGACGUGCCUGGACUGCCUUUUUCAAGGAAGUUUGAAAUAGCAUCCCUUAUGCACCUGCAUUUCAAUUAAGAUCUGUGUUACAAGAAUGACAGACCACUCAACAGUGAUGAACAGCAGUGAUGAAAGGUGGAAGUGCUGGAACGAAGAUGCGUUAAUCUGUGUGAAAGGUGCUUUGUAUGUGUCUGAGUCAUGGCCAUAGGUCACAAGCUAAUUUCUGUCCUCAUAAGAGGUGUCAACUAUGCUCUUUCUAUCUACUAACCUGCUCC